rnacentral:ncRNA from 1 species
GAUCGACAGUGCGAGGAAUACAACACCGCAAGGGAAUAACUCCGCCAGACUGAACACUGGUUUUGAGCUGUCGAUCACCCUAAU